rnacentral:lncRNA from 1 species
CAGAUGUAAAAAAUGAAGGAAGAAGAGAAGAAGAAAACGGGGAAAGUAAAGAGGGGAGGAGGAAAGGAGAAAAGGAAGGAGAGUGUGGAGAAGGAGGAGGAAUAAGAUAUUAUAUUAAUUAAGCCUUAAGCUCAAUGAUGCAAAAGUUCUGACUCAGACUGGACUAAAACAAGAAAGUUCAUAAUUUACUAUAGAAGGAAGUCAAAAAUAGGAAGAAUAAUAAGCUCAUAUGAUUCAAUGACUUAAUUGUGUCUUUCUAUUUCAAUAUUGGCUUCAUCCUCAGCCUUCUAGCAAGCUGACUCAGCCUGAAUUUCCAGUGUGUUAGCUUGGGUUGCUGUAACCAACUACCACAGACUGGUGGCUUCAACAGCAUUCAUUUUUUUCCCACAGUUCUGGAAGCUGGAAAACCCAAGAUCAAGGUGCCAGCAGAUAAGCUUCUUGCUGAAUUCUUUCUUCCUGGCUUAUAGGCGGCCACCUCAUGUGUAUCCUCAUAAG